rnacentral:rRNA from 1 species
ACAGCAGUAGCCGCGGUAAUACGUAGGGUGCAAGCGUUAAUCGGAAUUACUGGGCGUAAAGCGUGCGCAGGCGGUUAUAUAAGACAGAUGUGAAAUCCCCGGGCUCAACCUGGGAACUGCAUUUGUGACUGUAUAGCUAGAGUACGGCAGAGGGGGAUGGAAUUCCGCGUGUAGCAGUGAAAUGCGUAGAUAUGCGGAGGAACACCGAUGGCGAAGGCAAUCCCCUGGGCCUGUACUGACGCUCAUGCACGAAAGCGUGGGGAGCAAACAGGAUUAGAUACCCCAGUAGUCCCUGUCUCUUAUAC